CACAUAAACAACAUAUUAACCCUUGGCUCUUCGUGACUUAUGACUGAUGUAAUAACCCGGAGCAAUCAGUGGGAGAGGCCUGCUGUAAUGUUGGGCGAACAUGGGUGCAGUUCCUGGAGUGACCGCAAGGUGGCUACCUGAAGUUCUGUUGACCCUCGUCGGUAGCCGUAGCCAGGCUGUGUAAUUGCUGCUGUUGCUGUAUUACAAUUCCCAGUGUGCCCUGGAAGUUGUAGUGAGGGAAUGGGGCUGCUGGUGAGGGGGCUGCUGCUGGCCCCUGCAUGGAGGACCCUGGGGGCUGCUGCUCCUGCCCUCUGCCAAGGUGUCCGGUUCGCCUCGGUCCAGGCCGAUGACAUCCCAGCGGAGGACCAUGAACCCGUUCUACAGAUCAGUGAUCCACAAGGCCUGUACCCGCACCACAUCCCCACCAACACCCUCCAGAAGCUGCUGCUGUCCGCCGGCUCUGCCUUCAUGUCCUUGUAUGACCCCUACAGACACGAUAUGAUCGCGGUUCUCGGGGAAACCACCGGCGCCCUGGCCCUGCAGAAGCUGCGCGAGACAAUGAGCAAAGACCCAGAGGGGGUGCAGAUCCUGCAGGAGCGCCCCCGUAUCCGGAUGUCUAACCUGGAUAUUGAGAGGUUUAGAGAGUUGCCCGAUGGGACGUUCGGCAGAGAAUAUGUCAGGUUCCUGGAUGUCAAUCACGUCACGCCCGACACCCGCAUGCCGGUGAAGUUUGUUGAUGACGAGGAGCUGGCCUAUGUGGCCCAGCGAUACCGAGAAGUCCAUGACCUCAUGCACACCCUGCUGGGGAUGCCGACUAACAUGCUAGGGGAAGUCGUAGUCAAGUGGUUUGAAGCGGUGCAGACCGGACUGCCCAUGUGCAUGCUGGGAGCUGUGUUUGGGCCGCUGCGCCUCAGCGCCAGGAGGAAGAAGAAAUUGAUGGAGCUGGUUCCCUGGGCGGUGCAGACCGGGCGUAACGCCCGCUGCGUUCUUAACUUCUACUAUGAGAAGCGAUGGGAGCAGACGGUGGAGUCCUUGAGGGAAGAGAUUGGGGUCCUGCCCCCUCCCACCAUCAAGGUGUGAACGAUUGCAUUCUUAUAACUGGACGCCCCUAAUCGGGGGGCCCUUGGGCGACUACAGUGCAGCCUGGGAAAUAUAGGACAAGCGCUCCGAGCUGGGACUACAGUAUUUCCUGUACAUCAGCGGCGCCACCUGGUGGCCUGACACAGACACGACACCUUCUGUCUCCUCAGCUGGAGGUGGUAGUUCACCGCUGUGAAAUCCUGCGCUUCUCAGCCAAGUAUCCUGCCCCAUGAUCUGUGCCCAGGUGCCGGCAGCGUCACCUCUGCCAGGCGUAGCGGAUGCCAUCUGUUCUGAUCGGUGGCGUCAGAUAAUAUUUUGUGAGUGCCAGAGAGAUUGUUCACAAAUGGAAUGAAAGGAUAUAUGGAGACAACCAGGAUGUCAUCAGGGUAAGCAAUGGGACCUCCUCCGAUCAUGAGAACGGGGAUCCUGUGGCCCCUGACUGAGUGGAGUUGCAGUUGAGCAUGCGCAGUACCCCUAUAGGACUGGCGGAGAUAGCGAAGUAUGCGCCACCAUUAAAACGGAGCAACGGGAUCCCUGUUCACUUGAUCGGUGGAGGAGCAGGGGGUCAAACCCCCACCGCUCAGAAACCUGUAACUUCAAUA